UACAGGCUGUACCACCGGGAGAUUGGUUUUGUACGGCAUGCAGACCGCCGGAGAUAAAACCGAAAGAGAAAGCUCAAAAGCGGAAGAGAUUCGAGGACGAGAUCGAGGAGGAGACAAUAUUAACCAAAGAGACGCGACACAAUCGCGCUAAGCGCGUGCCACACAGCGACGAUGAGGCCGAUCAAGAAGACGAUCAAGAUGAUGAAGAAAGCGAGGAAGACAUAAAUAUACGACCGGAGAAUUUAUGCGCGUCGUGUAAAAGUGGUGGAAAGUUGAUUUCUUGCGACACAUGUUCAAAUCGUUAUCACUUGGAGUGCGUGGAACCGCCAUUGUCGAGGAAUCCUAGAGGAAGAUGGUCUUGCACCAAGUGCAAGGAUAAAAAGCGAAACGCAACAAAAGUGAGGGGGCGCGAGAGGGAAAGAGACAAGGAGAGGCUGUGCGCAGCAGCAGCACGCUCUCGCAUCCAUGGCUUUGCCAAGAGCCUCCUCACUACAGAAUCUACAGACUGGGACGGUCUGUAUUGUAUCCCU